rnacentral:rRNA from 1 species
CCGAACCGACUAAUGUUGAAAAAUUAGCGGAUGACCUGUGGCUGGGGGUGAAAGGCCAAUCAAACCGGGAGAUAGCUGGUUCUCCCCGAAAGCUAUUUAGGUAGCGCCUCGUGAAUUCAUCUCCGGGGGUAGAGCACUGUUUCGGCUAGGGGGCCAUCCCGGCUUACCAACCCGAUGCAAACUGCGAAUACCGGAGAAUGUUAUCACGGGAGACACACGGCGGGUGCUAACGUCCGUCGUGAAGAGGGAAACAACCCAGACCGCCAGCUAAGGUCCCAAAGUCAUGGUUAAGUGGGAAACGAUGUGGGAAGGCCCAGACAGCCAGGAUGUUGGCUUAGAAGCAGCCAUCAUUUAAAGAAAGCGUAAUAGCUCACUGGUCGAGUCGGCCUGCGCGGAAGAUGUAACGGGGCUAAACCAUGCACCGAAGCUGCGGCAGCGACACUGUGUGUUGUUGGGUAGGGGAGCGUUCUGUAAGCCUGCGAAGGUGGCCUGUGAGGGUUGCUGGAGGUAUCAGAAGUGCGAAUGCUGACAUAAGUAACGAUAAAGCGGGUGAAAAGCCCGCUCGCCGGAAGACCAAGGGUUCCUGUCCAACGUUAAUCGGGGCAGGGUGAGUCGACCCCUAAGGCGAGGCCGAAAGGCGUAGUCGAUGGGAAACGGGUUAAUAUUCCCGUACUUGGUGUUACUGCGAAGGGGGGACGGAGAAGGCUAUGUUGGCCGGGCGACGGUU